rnacentral:rRNA from 1 species
UGUAAGCGUAUACCAAAGUUGUUGCAGUUAAAACGCUCGUAGUCGGAAUUUGGCAGUUCCGGAUGUGUGCACGUCGUGUGCGCACUUCGCGGGGAUUGCUUUUGUGGUCUUGUGUAGGAUGAGGCACUUUUAUUAGUGAACGUCCUCACGCAACCACUUUUUACUGUGAGAAAUUCAGAGUGCUCAAAGCAGGCAUUUGCCGUGAAUGUAUUAGCAUGGAAUAAUAGAAUAGGACUUGGUCCUAUUUUGUUGGUUUGUUGGGACUGAGUAAUGAUUAAGAGGGACAGUUGGGGGCAUUUGUAUUUCGGUGCUAGAGGUGAAAUUCUUAGAUUACCGAAAGACAAACUGCUGCGAAAGCGUCUGCCAAGGAUGUUUUCAUUGA